UGAGUCAAGUCUUAGAGUUCAGUCUGCCUUCAACUCUGGCACCAGACUACACAGAACCUUCAGCACCGGCGGCCAAGAGCAUCAGAGCCGGGGAAGAAUCCCUGCAACUUCAAUGGAGCAACCACAAACAGCAGGAAACUUGUUGGCAGCAUAUGUUUUCCUGAAAGAGUUUGGAGCUGAACUCAUUAAAAAAAAAAUGUUUUGAAGCUGUCAGGCCUAAGCACAGGACCGAUCUACAUAUCACACCUCAGGAUGAGAAGCAGCAGCUGAAAGCCUCAUUCACUCAGAAAUCCUUCCUCCUUUUUAUUCUUCUAUUUUUCUUCUCUUUUAUUCUAUUUUUAUUUGCUGUUGCUUCCAACAUUCCUUUCUGGGCUUUUGUUAGCCUCUCGAAAGCAGUGGCGGAGAAAGCAUGCAAACAGGCCUGUGUGCAGGACAACCUUCUCCCAGCCUCUCGAAAUAUCUCUGCUCUCGUGCUGGACUGAUUGGUUGAUGUCUUCCUUCUCUAAAUCUUGUUAAAACCUGCAUCUAAAGGAUGAGGAUCUUGCCAUUCAACCAACGGAGUGGGAUACCUUUCUUCAAACAGAUAAGGUGAAUGGACACCACAACGCCAAUUUGAAUCCACCUGCCAUAAGACACUGGGACCUAAGCAGCCAUCACUUCUUCCUCAGGGCACCAAUGCAGUCCAGUUGGAAGACAGAGUUAUUCUGCACAAGGAGUUAUAUCCCCCAACUUCCUCACCAGGCUAUAAACUCCUUGAGGGAAGGAAUGACACAUAAACAUCUUCCUCACUUGGUGUGCUGGCAGGCUCUGAGCUGGGGCUCGAUAAACCUUAGUGAGUGCAGUUAAUUGUCCUAAUAAUUCUACUUCUGGCUUAAAGAAAUUCUUGUGCAUGCCAGAGAUGUUUAUUGCAGUAAAAACAAAAUUGUAAACUUCUAUCAACAAUGGGAUGAAGAAGCACAAUUUGUUAUUAAAUGACAGAAUACUGUAUAGACUUCUAGCAGGGUAAGUGGGAGUUACAUAUGUUGACACUGUAUCUUUUUCAAAAACCAUAGUUGAAUAAAAAAAGUGUGAAGUAGUCAGGAUACAAUAUAGUUUGAUAUUAAACUUGUAAACUAAAUACACACUCUCAAAAAGGGGCUACCUGUUUAAGUAAAUGUAUAAAAUUGGAAUGGAAUGAGGUACCCCAAACUCCUGAUGGAAUUUGCUCCUGAUGUAAGAGGAAAGGCAGAGGGAUCUUAACUAUCACUGAAAUGUUUUAUUGCUUUUAAAUCCAUCUAGAAGCAAAUAGAACAAAUGUUAACAAUUGUUCAUUUAGGGUGGAGGGCGUCCAGAUGACUGCUAAUCCUUGUACUUUCCUCUAACUUUUACAGGUCUUGGACUCCCCACUCACUGUACCCCCUGCCAAUUUAAUUCAGAGAUGGUUUGAAAAUCCCUCCAUCAACUAGGUUGUCUUUUCACACACACUUAGCCAAGCGUCCUCUUCAUUAGAUGAAAGAUUUUACAAGCAAAGCCAAAUCGGUGUCUCAAAAGAGGAAGUUUAGUGUUUUGUUUUGUUUUGGGUGGAAAUAUCAUAACGUAAAUUCAUCCGGAAAUCAGGAAUAAUGAUUUCUUCCAGUUCGGAAAACCCUAGUGUGUUCAUGGGUGGCCUGUGCAUGCCCCUCCGCCUCUUGAAAUGACCAGAAGCUGUUCUCAGUUCCAGCUGGGACGGGAAGUGUACAACCCUGAUAUAACAAAAAGCUCACCUGCACCUCCAAAAGCUGGAGAUAGUGCGUUCCAAAAAACAUGUGGCUCACCGUUCAAAGCCUUUGGGUGAUAGCUGGUAAAUGGUGAAGAAAUGGGGCAACGUGAAAAUGAGGGAACUGGUUCAAGAUCUGCACUAGGACUAAAGGAUUAUAUGACAUCAAUAAUCCUUCUUUUAUAUAUAUACAUAUAUAUUUGUGUGUAUGUGUGUGUAUAUAUAUAUCUCCUAUAUUUAUAAGAAAGAGUUUAUUCUCACUCUGAUAAAAAGUAAAGGCCCCAAGGAAUGAUAGAAUUCCAAAGACAACAAAACUGCCCAUCAAAAUAAAUACUAUG